AUGUAUCCAAUCCAUUACUGUAAUCUGUCCUCAGGGAAGGUGACCGGUCCAAGACCUUAGGCUUCUACAGUGCUCUGUCUGGUGAGAUGGCCAAUUUCCCUCUGUUCAUCACUGCUUCCUACGAGGGCCACAUGGUGUGUGUAGCCAGCGUCCAGAACAACACAGUAAUACAYCCCACAGUCAGUCAAAGACACCACCUCAGAGUAGUCGUCCCAGUCAACGUGCAGAGGUUGUAGUCGAAUCAGGAUCUGUGGAGUUCUACGAAGGGAAGCCACUGUCCCUACGUUGUAACAUCAGCCAAAGGGAACCACGUCUCCUACCAGUGGCUGGUGGAUGGGAAGCCCCUCCCCCUGUCUCCUUUACACAAUCAGACACAGGAACAACUCUUCAUCUACAGGAUGGUGCRCGAGGACAGCGGGGAGUACACCUGUGUUGCUACCAACCAACUCAACUUGACCGAGGUCUACUCCUCCAGGAGCACUGCCAAGGUCAUCAAGGUCAAAGGUCAGAGGUCAGGGGUCAUUUGUAUCACAUAAUUAUGGAGUAAGUAGGGUGAAGUUUCCCCUAGACGCUGAUCUUGAGUCAGUUUAGCAUUUUCCACACUAAUGCUUAAGGUGAGGCUUGGGGGAGGGGAAGCUGAUCCUACAUCUGUCCCUAGGGGAUACUCAGAGAUAGAGGGCUCUAGUGCCAAAAAAAAGUUUUUGCAUGGGCAGCAACAUAGAGGGAUUUCACCAUUAUGAAUUAGUCAACUGGGUGGGACUUCCUAUGGGUUAAGGAAGGAUCACAUAAUUCCAUCCGGGUCAUCAGGAGGGAUC